rfam:Gossypium hirsutum cultivar TM-1 chromosome 12, whole genome shotgun sequence
UAAUAAAAUUUUUAUCUAUUUUUACUAUUAAAAAUUAGUUUGACUAACAAAAUAAGUAGACAACUACACGUGGCAUGGUGUGCCAUGUGUACCUCAUUUUAACAUACAAGAAUCAAUUUUUAACAGUAGAAAUGAAUGCAUUUUUAACA